UAGGGAAUUUUCGGCAAUGGGGGAAACCCUGACCGAGCGACGCCGCGUGAGGGAUGAAGGCCUUCGGGUUGUAAACCUCUGUCUUCGGGGACGAUGAUGACGGUACCCGAGGAGGAAGCCACGGCUAACUACGUGCCAGCAGCCGCGGUAAGACGUAGGUGGCGAGCGUUGUCCGGAAUUAUUGGGCGUAAAGGGCGUGUAGGCGGCCUGUCAAGUCAGACGUGAAAUCCCUGGGCUUAACCUUGGGACUGCGUUUGAUACUGAUGGGCUUGAGGACAGGAGAGGAAGUGGAACUCCGUGUGUAGCGGUGAAAUGCUCAGAUAUACGGAAGAACACCAGUGGCGAAGGCGACUUUCUGGACUGUCCCUGACGCUGGGGCGCGAAAGCCAGGGGAGCGAACGG
rnacentral:rRNA from 1 species